AAUCAUAUACCGGUUCUCGUUAGAUCACCGAAGUCAAGCAUCAUUGGGUGCGGUCAGUACUUGGGUGGGUGACCACCUGGGAACACUGCGUGCCGUU